UAGUUUAUAGUUCAUUGCUCAUCCUAUCCUUUUGCUCUAUUUUUUAAUGUUUAUUACUGCUUUAAAACUGUUGGAACUAUUUUAUACGCCCAUUCUUUAAAUUGUGGCUACUUUCAUAAUAAAUUUCCCUUAUUUCUUUCUCACACUUCUCCUUGCUUCGAUUUUUUAAAAAAUAAUUCUCUCUAGAUUUAACUUUGUUUUUACAUAAAUUUUUU
rnacentral:lncRNA from 1 species